UGUGGAAAAUAUGUUACAAAAGAUUUUAUAGUAACAGGUGGAACAGAUCCUAAUCUUUUUCGUCUAGUGGAUCUUCAGACUACUGCUACAGCUGCCUGCAUCAAUUUUUUGCCAGGAGCAAUAUAUUGUAUUGAUAUUGGACAACCAAAAAAGAAAGAAAAGGAGAAGGAAAGAGAGCAAGUAAGAAUAAAAAGUGAUGCAUCUCUAGUACCAAAGAUUGCAUUCGUGUCAACUAAAAAACUAUACCAAGUGGAAUUUACCAGCUGAUAUUUACAUAACCCUUGUAUGAUGAUAUUUACAGUAUGGGAAAAAGAAAACAAAAUAUAUCAUUAAACAAUC